rnacentral:rRNA from 1 species
UACGUAGGGGGCAAGCGUUGUCCGGAAUCAUUGGGCGUAAAGAGCGUGUAGGCGCCAGAAAAGUCCGCUGUGAAAACUCGAGGCUCAACUUCGAGCUGUCGGUGGAAACUUUCUGGCCAGAGUCCGGAAGAGGAGAAUGGAAUUCCUGGUGUAGCGGUGAAAUGCGCAGAUAUCAGGAAGAACACCCGUGGCGAAGGCGGUUCUCUGGGACGGUACUGACGCUGAGACGCGAAAGCGUGGGGAGCGAACAGG